AUUGAACGCUGGCGGCAGGCCUAACACAUGCAAGUCGAACGGUAGCACAGAGAGCUUGCUCUCGGGUGACGAGUGGCGGACGGGUGAGUAACGUCUGGGAAACUGCCCGAUGGAGGGGGAUAACUACUGGAAACGGUAGCUAAUACCGCAUAACGUCGCAAGACCAAAGUGGGGGACCUUCGGGCCUCACACCAUCGGAUGUGCCCAGAUGGGAUUAGCUAGUAGGUGGGGUAAUGGCUCACCUAGGCGACGAUCCCUAGCUGGUCUGAGAGGAUGACCAGCCACACUGGAACUGAGACACGGUCCAGACUCCUGCGGAAGCCAGCAGUGGGGAAUAUUGCACAAUGGGCGCAAGCCUGAUGCAGCCAUGCCGCGUGUAUGCAGAAGGCCUUCGGGUUGUAAAGUACUUUCAGCGGGGAGGAAGGCGGUGAAGUUAAUAGCUUCACCGAUUGACGUUACCCGCAGAAGAAGCACCGGCUAACUCCGUGCCAGCAGCCGCGGUAA
rnacentral:rRNA from 1 species